rnacentral:lncRNA from 1 species
UAAUAAUAAAUGCAGUCCUAGAGUUCGAUUAACUUCUCUUCCAGUAGGUGGAGCUGUGCCCACUGGGCCAAGCUUCUCCUCUCAAUAGGUGGGAACCAUUCACUGUGCAGCAGCUCUUUCUCCCAGACUGGGCGGGUCUCCAAUCCUGAGUGUCUAGGGCCUUCUCUUGUGUUUCCUCAAGCCAGGCCGCGCUCACCUGUGACGCUCACCACAAUACUGGCUACACGCCAGGUCUGCUGCUCCUGGGAGCCCUGUUUUCAUGAACACCUGGGCUCACUCUCCCUGUUUGCCUCCCUCAGACCCUAAGUUUGUAGAGCUUGGGGCUGAGAACCCCCAGCGAAUUUGCUUGCCCUCCGGUAGCCACGCCCCCGGUAGCUGGUGCAAGAGACCUCAGUUGUCAGCACUGGUGGGAGCGGUAGCCGGGAGUUCUGCACCGCGAGUCCCGCGCCACUCCUGAUUCCCUCGGUCUGGCUAUNCCCGCUGUGUGGAGAGAGAUGGCUAGGGGAUUACACACCUGUCGCGCUGGUUUCAAUGAAGUUAUCUCCUCCGCCCGUGACGUCAGUUCUCUGCCAAGGUGGUAUCCCAUGCAAAUGGUGACCGUUCGUUCCCUUUGCUGGGUGACCAAUGCAACGGGUGGGUCCUGACUGUCUCUCCCAAUCCCCGUUUCAAUCCUG